rnacentral:ncRNA from 1 species
ACAGUACAAACUGAGCAGACCGUGAUAGAAUAUCAUGGAGUCGGGUCACAUGAGUGACAGUGGUGUAUUACAUCCACGGGACAGU